GGCGCACGGGUGCGUAACACGUGGAUAAUCUGCCUGAGUGCCCGGGAUAACCAGUCGAAAGAUUGGCUAAUACCGGAUAAGCCCACGGUCUCUUCGGAGAUUGAGGGAAAAGGUGGCCUCUGUAUACAAGCUAUCACAUUCAGAUGAGUCCGCGGCCCAUCAGCUAGUUGGCGGGGUAAUGGCCCACCAAGGCAACGACGGGUAGCUGGUCUGAGAGGACGAUCAGCCACACUGGAACUGAGACACGGUCCAGACUCCUACGGGAGGCAGCAGUGGGGAAUUUUGCGCAAUGGGCGAAAGCCUGACGCAGCAACGCCGCGUGUGUGAUGGAGGUCUUCGGAUUGUAAAGCACUUUCGACCGGGACGAAAACCCGUAGCCCAAUACGCUACGGCUUGACGGUACCGGGAGAAGAAGCACCGGCUAACUCUGUGCCAGCAGCCGCGG
rnacentral:rRNA from 1 species